ACAGAGGUCCCAAGCGUUGUUCGGAAUUACUGGGCGUAAAGGGUGCGUAGGCGGUUGAGUAAGUCUGAUGUGAAAUCUCCGGGCCUAACCCGGAAAAUGCAUCGGAUACUAUUCAGCUUGAGGUUUGGAGAGGGGACUGGAAUUCUCGGUGUAGCAGUGAAAUGCGUAGAUAUCGAGAGGAACUCCAGUGGCGAAGGCGAGUCCCUGGACAACACCUGACGCUGAGGCACGAAAGCUAGGGGAUCAAACAG
rnacentral:rRNA from 1 species